rnacentral:rRNA from 1 species
GAUGAACGCUGGCGGCGUGCCUAAUACAUGCAAGUCGUGCGAACGGACGAGAAGCUUGCUUCUCUGAUGUUAGCGGCGGACGGGUGAGUAACACGUGGAUAACCUACCUAUAAGACUGGGAUAACUUCGGGAAACCGGAGCUAAUACCGGAUGAUAUUUUGAACCGCAUGGUUCAAAAGUGAAAGACGGUCUUGCUGUCACUUAUAGAUGGAUCCGCGCUGCAUUAGCUAGUUGGUAAGGUAACGGCUUACCAAGGCAACGAUGCAUAGCCGACCUGAGAGGGUGAUCGGCCACACUGGAACUGAGACACGGUCCAGACUCCUACGGGAGGCAGCAGUAGGGAAUCUUCCGCAAUGGGCGAAAGCCUGACGGAGCAACGCCGCGUGAGUGAUGAAGGUCUUCGGAUCGUAAAACUCUGUUAUUAGGGAAGAACAUAUGUGUAAGUAACUGUGCACAUCUCGACGGUACCUAAUCAGAAAGCCACGGCUAACUACGUG